rnacentral:lncRNA from 1 species
CACAAGUGCAGAAUGCCUCCCCAUCUCUCUCAGCUGUUAGCUCAGCCCAGAAUGCAUGUUCCCCAGCUUAAUAACUGAAGCAAGAGUAAUAAAAACGUCCUUACAACUGUCAAAACUAAUCUGUUAAUAGGAAAGUUUGUGGCAAGCCUCCGGUAGCUCCUAUCUGUGGGGGAACAGGUUCCCUAUUUAGAGAAAAUGGAGCUGUUAUCCUUAAGCAGAGAGAUGCCCAUUGUGGAGGUAAUUACGAGGAGGCCCGAGCUGACCUGGCAAUGAGGAAGUGUAUCUAAAUACCUGAAGUGAAGGAGAGAAGCCGAAAUGAAAGCCGAGGCCCCAUCUGCUAGGCUGUAAUGAUUGUGCUAUUUGAAGGCAGAAAGGUUUGUCUGGAGCAGCUGGUUUCUCUCCAAGUGACCUUUUAGCAUUUCUGCUUUUGCUGUCUGACAGAUGUGUCAACUCAAUAAUUUCAAAAGCCCCUGAGUAAAUAACCAAUUGUGAGCAAGGGUGACCCAAAGUGAUGACAAAACAGGCGCACGCAGCACAUUAUGGAGUAUAAUACCUGCUGAAGGAAGCAGGGAUAUUAUCGGAAAGGAAAAAAACAUUUUAUUCUUUAUUUUUGACUAAAUGGCUUUCCUGCCCACAGAUCAGUUGUUUUUGAAGAGGGGAAGACAAGGGAAAAUGUGAGGCGAAUGGAAGGGCCUUGUGCUGGCUUUGUCCUUGGAACACUUUUAUGAGCUGGUUGGUGGGCCUCAGGUGGUAUGUCAGCCCUCCAAAUGGACUCCUGCUCCCUCACUCAGCACACAGCUGGGGAGAAAGACUGAAGGCCAAAGCUAAUUGGCUUUGUGAAUGAUUGGGGGACUAUAGAGAGGUGACUGCAAUCAGACCAGAGCUGAUGGAGUUUAAAGUCUUCCAAAUAGUUUUCAAAAAGUGAUGUAGAUGUUACUGUUAACUCCUGCCCAAAGCUGGAGUGAGGGAGAGUGGGAGAUCCUAUGCCAGAGCUGUAUACAUCCCCUCGCCUCUCUCCCUUUUAAUGUAGUAGACACUAUGAUUUGAAUUAACACAAUUACCUAAUGACUUCCAGGAAGAUAUAACAGCACCCUUGAAGGACAAUCAGAUUUACUAGGUGAAUUCAUAUUUUACCUGUUGUUCUUUUUAAACCACUAUCCCUUAGCUAAGAAAAUCAAUAAUAAAGGUUACUCUCCACUGAGUCUAUUCACCCCUCCCAUGGGGGAAGGUGAAUUUUUCAACCUGCAUAUCUAACUACUGCCCUUUCCAGUUUCCCUUGAAGGUGAAAGUUAAACAAAGAAUCCUUACUCUCCUCCUAUUUCCUUUUAGGAAAUCAAAAUGGGGAGGAAGAAGAGGGGCUAAUAAAUGUUUGAUAAAUUUAUCAAAGUAGAAUUAAAAGUUGCCUUCAAAGGUAAAUCAUAGAGUAUUCUUUCAAUUCAAUAAGCAUUUGGUAAGUACCUCCUAUGUGGUAGACACUUUGUACAUAAAGAUAAAAAUGAAAAAUUCCUGCCCAGAAAAAGCUCUGUAAUCUUCUGGGGAAAAUAAUAAACAUACAGAUAAGUAAAUAGAAGCCAUUCAGAAAUAAGUAAAUACUGUAUUAAUAAAUACAGUAAAUACUGUAUUAACAAUAUAAUUACUAUAUUAUAAAAUACUUUAGUAGUAAUAAGCAAAUGCUAUGUUAACAAUGCCUAAUAUAUAAUAGCCACUUGAUAAAUGUUUAUUGACUGAUUGGCUGAAAAAAUAGGAAGAUCAGGAGGGGCUUCAUAUAAGAAGUGAAGCAAAUUGAGGCUUAAAAGAAGGGGAGCAGAGAAGGGAAAAUAUUCAGAUAGAGAGGACCAUCUAAUGCAAAAGAAUGGAAGUUAGAAAUGAAAUGUCUGGUAUAAGAAACAUGAAAUGGGCCAUUUUGGCUGGAACACAAAAUGUGUAAAAUGGAACAGCAAAAAAUAGAUAUCAGAAGACAGAUUAUGAAGAAAUGCAAAAUGGAGAAAUUUGUAUUUUAUUCUUAUAGACAAAAAGUAGAGCCAUAUAAAGCUUUUUGAGUGAAGAGAGACCAGGUCAUCAUCUUUAUCAUCAUGUGAUCCUUUCCUUAGAAAAGUUACUGUUUUAAGAUUCCCAAAUCAAUAUGCUAAUAUUUGAUCACUUAAAUAUAAUGUCAACAGACAACUGGGCAUGAGGGGAAAGUUCUUGACCUAUAGUUAAGAGAGCUGGGAUGAAACUCUACCUCAGACACUUAUCAUCUGUGUGUAUAGGAAUGUCACUUUACAAUCAAUGUGGACUCAAGAAUAACAUUUUCACUACUUGCCUCACAAGAUUGCUCUGAGAGAAGUAGUCUUAUGUAGCGCACUAUACAAAUAAGAGCUGUUAAGAUAUGUUUCCAUUUUAAGGAAGUUGAAAAUUCUUUUAAAGAUCAAGAUAAUGUUAAGGGAAGAAUAACAAACUCUUCAUAGUGUCUUCAAAGCCCUCCACUAUGCCAUAAAAGAAAGCAUCCACUCCAGCUAGAUAGUAGUACUCAAUAAUAAUAGCUAAUAUUUAUAUAGGUUUGAAAAGCUCUUUAUAUUGUCAUAUUUGAUUCUCACAAUAACCUUUUGAGGUUGGGGAUGUUAUCUCCCAUCACAUAGAUCAAGAAAGUAAAUGUGGAUAAAACCAAGUGGGUUGCCUGAGAUCACACAUCUGCAAAGUGUUUGAAGUGAGACUAAAAUUCAGAGCUUCUUGACUUCUGAUCCAACUGCUCUAUUUAUUAUACCACUUAAACUCAAUAUCACUUGAAUACAAUAUGGUCAGUCUCAACCCCAAACAUUUUUAACAAUAAUUUCAUUUUUCCCCAAAUUACAUGUAAAACCAAUUUUAACAAUUAGCUUUCUUUUUUGUUUUUUAAGUUUUUAAUUCCAAAAUCUAUUCCUCUUUUCCAAUGCCUCUUCUGACACUGUAAGCAAUUUAAUAUAGGUUAUUCUUGUGCAAUGCACAUAAAAUAUAUUUCCAUAGUAGUCAUUUUGUGGGAAAAAUAAAAAGAGCAACAGGAAGGAAGGAAGGAGGGGAGGGAGGGAAGUAGGGAAAGGAGGAGGAAGGGAGGGAGGGAGGGAGGGAGGGAGGAAGGAAGGAAGGAAGGAAGGAAGGAAGGAAGGGAAGGGAAGGAGGGAGGGAAAAAGGGAAGAAGGAGGAAGGAACUAUGCUUUCAACUGUAUUUAGAUCCCUCCCACCCCUGGAGGCAGAUAGAAUUUUUCAUCAGGAGUCCUUUGGAAUUGUCUUAGAUCAUUUUAUUGCUAAGGAUAGUUAAAUCACUCACACUUUUUCAUCAUAUAUUGUACUUACUGUAUACAGUUUUCUCAUGUUUCUGCUUACUGCACUCUGUUUCAGUUCAUGUAAUACUUUUCAGGUUUUUCUGAAAUUACCCUAUUCGUCAUUUUGUGUAACACAAUAAUAUUCUAGCACAAUAAUAUAUCAUGACUCGGCCAACCAUUCCCCAGUUAAUGGGCAUCCCCUCAAUUUCCCAAUUCUUAUAAAAAACCAAAAAGAGAGAGAGAGAGAGAGAGAGAGAGAGAGAGAGAGAGAGAGAGAGAGCUAGUAUAUAUACUUGUGCACAAAUGAGUCCCUUUCUCCUUUUUAAAAAUUUCUUUGGCAUAUAGAUCUCAUAGUGGUAUUGCUAGAUCAAAGGUAAAUCCCAAACUUUUAUUCUGUUGUUCCUACCACUUGGAUUGCAAUCUCCUCUCUCUUCUACCUCUCCAGUUAUUUUUCCAUCCUUCAAAUUUCAUCAUAAACUUGAUCUCCUCCACAAGGCCUUUCCUGUCUACUUUGCCUUAUUAUAAAAAACAUUCUUUUAAGAGAAAUAAAGCAGCUUAGUGAGGAAGGGAGCAGAAAAAUGUGUUUUUGUUUAAAAGAGGUGAUUUAUAUUGUCAAAUGGUGUAAGGUAUUGCCACUGUAAUAGAUGAACAUUUUGAGUAGAAAAAAAUCUUUAUUUUAAUAUACAUAAUAUACAUAUAAUAGAUGUGAAUGAAGAAAUAGCUUUUAGACAGGAGGGAAACACUUUGGGAAUAUAAAAAAUCUAUGGUGUAAAAUAUAAAGACUUAAAUGUCUUUGCCUUGCUUGUAUAGGAAGAGUUUAAUGUCAUAAAGAGAUAGAUAGCAUUUUUAUUUAUUAAAAACUAGAGAAAUAUGGAUGUAAAAUAAUUACAAAAUAUCAAGCAGAUGUAUACUAUGGAGAAGAUAUUGGAACUUAAAAGUAUUGUGGCAUGUCAGCUAAUUUUUAUAUACAUGUUUUGUGACUAAAGAGAAUAUUUUUUAAAUGAGGAAAAUAUAAACAAAUAGACUGAGAUGUGAUUUUAAAAGAAUUAAUGAUUUGAUAUGGGAAAUUUGGAAAUUGCAGGGUUUUUUUAAAAAUAUAAAGUUAGGAGGUUUUCCUUUGAGCCAUUGAAGUAUAAAGGAAGUAGGUAUAAAGACCUAAGAAUAAAAAAAUGUUUUUUUAUGGGACCUAACUAUUAGAUUCAGUCAGCUGAGAAUGCCCUUCAGCACUUUUGGGGGCUGGAAAGGGGUGAAGUUUACAUUAAGGGUUCUUUGUUACCACCUCUGGCUUGAGGAAGAAAAACAGAGGAGGCUUUGCAACUGCUUUGGUAUGCUGGUUAGCUAGUUUCAAGAAUCAACCUGAGCUAUAUUCCUGUGAGCUACAUUCUAAUUGGACAACAGGGCAUCCAUCCAGAGAAGAGAAGAAAAUUUCCUCAAACAGUGAUAAGGAUGAACAAUUAAGCAGCAAAUAGAGAAAAAAUAUUGCAAAUGUUGCCAAAUGAGAAUAAUCACUUUGAAGCCUGUAGUUCAGAGUUGUGAAUUACCCUAAGCGCCUGAAUUUUCCUUACUCUAUGUUUUCCUCCCAGGUCAUUGUUAAACGUUGUAGAUACUGAGUGUAUCAGUGGGAAUGUGUGAAUUAGAUUUGUAUAUGUAUUGUGCUGUAUUUUAUUAUUUAUGCAUUUGACAUAAUAAUAUCUAUAACACCUUUUUGGCUUUAUUGUUAAAUAAGUGGGUAUGUUUAAACUCUAAAUAUGCCAUUAUUGCGAGUGGCUGGUUUUGUUUCAUGCAUUGAAUGGAUGAAGGGCCCUGUGAGUUACUGGUUUUGUAAAUCAAAAAAUGCAUUGCAUUGGAGCUCAAGAGUUAGAGUAGUAAGCAACAGAAAUCUAUUUACUUUCAACCAGAUUAACCCUAAUUCCCUAAGGGAAUUUGAAUUUAACUACUUGAUGUUGUUUUAUCUCUGGAAAUUUAUACCUGCUAGUGUGAGAAUAAGUUUGAGUAGAGAGAGAGUACAAGAGCAGCACAGUGUCUACCAUGCUCUGUGCAAGGAGUAACAGGAUAUAUGUUUCAUAACACUGUGGAAUGUUCAUGUAAAGGCACUGCCUUCCCAGACAACAACAUUUUCACAUUUUACACUAUCUUUCUAAUAGAUCACAUUUAUAUAAUAAGAAGAGAGGAGAGGAGAGAGGAAGAGAGGGAGG